GAUGAAGAACGUAGCGAAAUGCGAUACGUAAUGUGAAUUGCAGAAUUCAGUGAAUCAUCGAAUCUUUGAACGCACAUUGCGCCCCUUGGUAUUCCGGGGGGCAUGCCUGUUCGAGCGUCAUUAUCACCCCUCAAGCUCAGCUUGGUGUUGGGGCCGGUCCCUCACAGGGCCGCCCCUAAAAGCAGUGGCGGUGCCAUCUGGCUCUACGCGUAGUAAUACUCCUCGCGACAGAGUCCCGGCGGUGUCCUGCCAGAACCCCCCAUCUUUUUAAUGAUUGACCUCGGAUCAGGUAGGGAUACCCGCUGAACUUAAGCAUAUCAAUAAGCGGAGGA
rnacentral:misc_RNA from 1 species